UGUAUAUCUCAUCUCCUUACUCCCAUUAUUGAAUUCGAUCUAAGCGCCCUCGCGACCACUCAGGUAUUUGAUUGACAUUUGGGGUGUAGCGAACAAACUAAAAAAUUUCACUUCAUGAUAGUACUAUAGAUUUUAUAUACAAAGUACUAGGCUUUACCUUAGAGCUUAAAUGUAACAGGAACAUAAUUUAGUUCAUACCUUGAACAUAUUUCAAAUCAAAUCAGACGCCUUUCAAGUUACCCUCAUUCACAUCUAGAUGGCCAACCACAAUAUAUUCAACGACGCCGUAGAUCUAGUACAUUUUCCCCAUUUUUGGCUGUGGAAUUUAUUUUUUUUUGUCCACUCUACCACCAAUUUUCAACAGUAAAAAAAAAUUAAUUUCGCCGCAUUUCUCGUUGACGUUACAAAAAUUGUGUUCUCUCCAAUUUGUUUAUUAAAAUAUUGUUUUCCCUCAAAAAAAAAAUAUUUAAAUAGCAGAAAAAUCAAUGAAAUUUUAAGUGAAUUUAAAAUGAAAUUAGUGUGCAUUGUGAAAAUGUGAUAGAGCUUGAGCUAAACGAAAUGUUUUAUUUUAUCCCCUUGGCAUAUUAAAUGGCCGUGUGCAAAAAAUGUUUUAUGGAAAUAAAUAAAAUGGCAGUCAAAUGUUAAAUAGUUUUGAUAAAGGAAAAUGUGUUUGAUAUUGUUUUAUAAAUAAAAAAAAAUAGCUACGUCGUGAUGUGUGAACCUGUAAAGAAGCCUACAUAAUAUAUUUUUUACACAACUCGCGCGCAUACCCUCUUCCCGAUUGUGCACAAUUUUAAUCCACAAUCCAAACCGCCUCUGUGCUCCCAGUCAUCAACGUUUUUUGGCUUUGAUUUCUUUCUUUCUUUCUUUAUUUUUUUGAUGUUUGUUUACAAAUUAUUGUUGAAAUUAUUUUUAUAACUACUUUAUUGUGAUUUUAUAUAAAUAAAGUUUUCUAUUAGAAAUGUGUUAAAAAGUGA